AACGAACGCUGGCGGCAGGCUUAACACAUGCAAGUCGAACGCCCCGCAAGGGGAGUGGCAGACGGGUGAGUAACGCGUGGGAAUCUACCCAGUUCUACGGAACAACAGUUGGAAACGACUGCUAAUACCGUAUACGCCCUACGGGGAAAGAUUUAUCGGAAUUGGAUGAGCCCGCGUUGGAUUAGCUAGUUGGUGGGGUAAUGGCCUACCAAGGCGACGAUCCAUAGCUGGUCUGAGAGGAUGAUCAGCCACACUGGGACUGAGACACGGCCCAGACUCCUACGGGAGGCAGCAGUGGGGAAUAUUGGACAAUGGGCGCAAGCCUGAUCCAGCCAUGCCGCGUGAGUGAUGAAGGCCUUAGGGUUGUAAAGCUCUUUCAGUAGGGAAGAUAAUGACGGUACCUACAGAAGAAGCCCCGGCUAACUUCGUGCCAGCCGCCGCCGUAAGAC
rnacentral:rRNA from 1 species